rnacentral:lncRNA from 1 species
CUGGAGGAGGCUGCACAGUAUACCCUCAGGACUUGCUCUGUUUGAGGAAUGCUGUGCUAUCCCCUGCUGUUUGCAGAGUUGGGUAGCGUAUUUAGGCUUUUAAGAAGACUUCUGCACUCAGGAAGAAAAUGUGCCCAGCUUAUAGCUGCUCUUGAGCCAGCUUCAGGAGCCUCUUGGCCAAUAUCCCACAAGGAAGGCAGCCCAGGGCUCCAGUUUUCUCUCUCCCUUUGGCUAGGUCUCUUUCUCUCUCCCAGUUCUCCUUCCUUACUCCAUUCCUAGUGGGCACCAAACCAGCCCAACCUGACUCUCAUGUCUCUUUCAAGUCAUCUCCCCACUCCUGGCACAGGUCACUGGCUCUGAUCAGGGCUUCUCUGUCACGUGAGGCUGGCCACAGGACUGGGAGGCACCGAAAAGCAAGACCCCUGAAAGCCAAAUGUGAUCUUGUCUACCUAAUUAACAACCCUCCAGCUAUUCCACACCCAGGACGGCCUGAAACCACUUCUGCAGCUGACUCUUGUCUUGCUCAAAGCCCUAGGACAGCUCUUCAGACCCCAAAGCAUGGGCUUUUCACACUCUCAUGUUUCUGCCCUGGCCCUCCUGAUGCCAGCUUCUCCUCCACCCAGUCGAAGCACGGAGCAAACCUCAUGGAUUGGUAUUAGUUUCUCAUAAACCUUUCUCCUGCCCCUAGAAGGGCCUGGGGAGAUGCCUGGCGUCCCCUCCUGUGUCAGAAGGCACUCAUCCAUGUUCGCUAACCACAUGAAUGCAAUGUGACACAGGACAGGUUGUCCUGAGGUUGUCACAUCUUCCUUCAGAAAAAAAAAUGACCCUAGUUGCAUGGCACACUGGAACCAGAGGGGAACUGAAGGCCCAUGCAGAAUAUUGGCUGAAAAUAU